rnacentral:lncRNA from 1 species
GUUUGAGCCCUGAGACUGAAGGAGUUCCUCAGGCUCCCAUGUCAGUCAGCUUCAACCUGGGUUCAGCCGAUGUGGGUGGCAGCAGAGAUUGGAGGGAAGAAGGGAGAAGUCACAGUAUUUCUUCCCUCCCUCUCUACCUGGCCUUGCCUCCAGCAGCCACUGCUUUUCCUCCAUGGCUCCAGCCCCCUCCAGACAAGCCCAUCAGGGACUCUGGGAACACCAACUCCUCUCUCUCUCUUCAGCCUGAAGUCCACAGGUCGUGAGUUCCAUCACAGCGAGGGCAUAAACCCAAGACUGAAAGACAUGGGGUCCAGUGCACAGCUGAUCCAACACAGGAAAUGGGAGACUGGAACUCCAGGGAAGGUGGAGGGCAGGUCGGAAAACCCAGGAAGACAGAGGAGCAGCCGGCAGGAACCGCCACCGAGCCGGGGAGAGGGCUCUGGGAGAGAUGCCAGCAGGGGAAAGGUCGAGGGGACAGUCUAGCUGACGGGAGAGGCCCACUGAGGGAAGAGUGGGAGGACAGAGCUGGGGGAAAAGUUGGUGGUAGGUAUUUAGAAAACCAAGGGAAGGAAAAAUGAGGUGAUUGUGAACCCCAGGGGCUGGGGGUGGAGGUUGAGUAGUAGUAAAAGAAAGAAUACGUACUCCUAAUACGUGAUGUGGCUUGGCUGUAAACAGCAUUUGUUUAGUUAUCACAAUAACACCAACCUCGAACUUAACCGAAAUUUUUAAUAUCACUGCCUGGAGAACAGAGAAGAGGGGUGAUAUGUACAGGCGGGGAGAGUGGGCACGGCUGGAGGAAGGCACUGCGAGUAAUUCAAGUCCUCAUUUUAAGUGGCAAUAAGUAAAUAAAUAAGACAAGCCAUUUAAACGUGUUAUUGAAACAUGAAGCUGAAGACUGGAAGCAGCCCCUGAAAGCAUUAGCGUGUAGAGCUGGGAAGGGAAGGAGCCCGCGGGCAGCUUUUCAUCGUUAUAGGCCUGUAUUACUAUUUGUCUGUUUAAACUAUAAGCAGGUAUUCGUUCAAUAAAAAACUAAAAUUAAAUAGAAAAAGUAAAGGAGAU